rnacentral:tRNA from 3 species
GCAUUAUUAGCUCAGUUGGUAGAGCACCUGACUCUUAAUCAGGGUGUCCAGGGUUCGAUCCCCUGAUGAUGCACCA